rnacentral:rRNA from 1 species
CAAUAGCGUAUAUUAAAGUUGUUGCGGUAAAAAAGCUCGUAGUUGGAUUUCUGUUGAGAGCGACCGGUCCAUACCAUGUAUGCGUAUCUGGCUUGCUCUCGGCAUCCUCUCGAUAGACGUUACUGCGCUUGAUUGCGUGGUGCGGAUCUCGGGACUUUUACUUCGAGGAAAUUAGAGUGUUCACGGCAGGCUUUCGCCAGAAUACAUUAGCAUGGAAUAAUACUAUAGGAUCUUGGUUCUAUUUUGUUGGUUUCUAGAAUUGAGAUAAUGAUUAAUAGGGACAAUUGGGGGCAUUCGUAUCAACACGUCAGAGGUGGAAUUCUUGGAUUGUGUUGCGACGAACUACUGCGAAGGCAUUUGCCAAGGAUGUUUUCAUUGA